rnacentral:piRNA from 1 species
UACCCGACUGGACCUGUCUUUGAUGGA